rnacentral:rRNA from 1 species
GGACUACCGGGGUUUCUAAUCCUGUUUGCUCCCCACGCUUUCGCACCUCAGCGUCAGUACCGAUCCAGUGAGCCGCCUUCGCCACUGGUGUUCUUCCUAAUAUCUACGAAUUUCACCUCUACACUAGGAAUUCCACUCACCUCUAUCGGACUCAAGAAUGGUUGUAUCAAAGGCAGUUCCAGAGUUGAGCUCUGGGAUUUCACCUCUGACUGACCAUCCCGCCUACGUGCGCUUUACGCCCAGUAAUUCCGAACAACGCUAGUCCCCUUCGUAUUACCGCGGCUGCUGGCAC